GCCUACGGGACGCAGCAGUGGGGGAUAUUGGACAAUGGGGGGAACCCUGAUCCGCAGACGCCGCGUGAGGGAAGAAGUAUUUCGGUAUGUAAAGCUCUGUCAGCAGGGAAGAAAGAAAUGACGGUACCUGACCAAGAAGCCCCGGCUAACUACGUGCCAGCAGCCGCGGUAAUACGUAGGGGGCAAGCGUUAUCAGGAAUUACUGGGGGUAAAGGGAGCGUAAACGGUUAAGAA
rnacentral:rRNA from 1 species